rfam:Myotis brandtii contig130243, whole genome shotgun sequence.
CGGGGGGGGCAGGAGGUCCCUCAGACUGGAUUGCAAGAGGGCGCAGACCAGACUGAGGGACCCCAGCAGUGCAGG